GUGGGGAAUAUUGGACAAUGGGGGCAACCCUGAUCCAGCGACGCCGCGUGUGUGAAGAAGGCCUGCGGGUUGUAAAGCACUUUUAGUGGGGACAAAAAGCCACGGGCUAAUACCCUGUGGUCUUGAUUUAACCCAAAGAAAAAGCACCGGCUAACUCUGUGCCAGCAGCCGCGGUAAUACAGAGGGUGCGAGCGUUAAUCGGAAUUACUGGGCGUAAAGCGUGCGUAGACGGUUUCGUAAGUCGGGUGUGAAAUCCCCGGGCUCAACCUGGGAAUUGCAUUCGAAACUGCGAGGCUAGGGUACGGAAGAGGGAAGCGGAAUUUCUGGUGUAGCGGUGAAAUGCGUAGAUAUCAGAAGGAACAUCAGUGGCGAAAGCGGCUUCCUGGUCCAGUACCGACGUUCAGGCACGAAAGCGUGGGGAGCAAACAGGAUUAGAAACCCGUGUAGUCC
rnacentral:rRNA from 1 species